rnacentral:lncRNA from 1 species
GAAGGAGGACGAUGACGAUAGUGAGGAGGGCAAGGACUUGGAGGAGGAGGAUGACAAGGAAGCGGCAGCGGUGGAGGAAGAGGGUGGUGGUGAUGGUGGAGGAGGAAGAGGUAGUGGGCUCGUAGAGAGUCAAGAAGUAGGCUACCAAGAAGAGGAGGCAAAGUGGCUGUGGCAAUGGGGGAGGUGGACUUGGAGAUGGCCAAGAAGAGGAGGUGGGUGGACUUCGACGUCUACACGAUGCCCGGCAAUGCCGGCAUCGAGGCAACAUUACUGGGGAACUCCUCGGGGAGUCAUCGCAGAAUACUCCGAUUUGGGGCUUCCUUUUUGAAAGCAUCUAGGAUCCUAAUUUGAAUUUUGGUAAUUAAUGACAACAUCUGUGGACUAACAAUUUCUUUAGAGAUAUGAGUAUAUGUUAGUUCCGGAGAUAAAUUGAGCUUCAAUGGAUGCUAUGGUGAUAGCUUGGAUGAAUUUACAGUGGAGAGCUUAAGGCAAAGGUAAAUGGUAGGGCUUUUCUAUUUUACCGGUCAAGAGGUGCUUAGUAGAUGAUAAUUGACUGGUUAGUAGGCUAGAUAGUCAUACUAUCAGGUCAAUUUCAUUUUCUUGACGGUUCUAAAGUGCCAUUGUGCUCAAACAAUUGCAUUGCAUGCAUAUGGGUUUUUCUCAUUUGGAAAGUUGAUAGAACAAUGGUAAAAUGUGAUUUGAAAAUGGCUAACAUGCAGUGUAUGGUGAACGGCCUCUCUUGUAGAGGCGGACUAUUAUUUGACUUAGCCAAAAUAUUUUUGGAAGGCAUGAGCAUUGUUGAGCUUAAGUUGAACAAAACCUUGUUUGGGAACCCGAUAGCCGUGGCGCCACCGAUGUCCUUCUACC